CUCCUUUCCAUUGCUGAACUGUGGUCUUGCUUUCUGAUUAACAGCUGGCAGGGUAAAACAACAACACACAGGGUUAUCCACAUCAAGAUCCAGGUUAUACAGAAAUUCUUCAGCCUUUUGCUGCCUUUCAUCAUCUUCUGAUUCUUGAGCUUGUAAUAGACGAAUUGUGAAAUCAAAAUGAUAUCCAUGUUAACAUAGGAGAUGGCAGUGACAGUCUGAAUUGGCAGUUGAUUUGUUAAAUAGCAGCCUAUAAGGUUUGUGAGAUCUCCAGCUAUCCAGCACAGCAGGAAGCCCAAAGACAGCGCCUGGUCCACCUUUC
rnacentral:lncRNA from 1 species